AUUGAACGCUGGCGGCAGGCCUAACACAUGCAAGUCGAACGAGUGGCGGACGGGUGAGUAAUGUCUGGGAAACUGCCUGAUGGAGGGGGAUAACUACUGGAAACGGUACCUAAUACCGCAUACCCUCGGCUGUCACCCGAUGGGAGUAGCUAGUGGGUGGGGUAACGGCUCACCAAGGCGACGAUCCCCAGCUGGUCUGCGAGGAGGACCAGCCACACGGGAACUGAGACACGGUCCAGACUCCUACGGGAGGCAGCAGUGGGGAAUAUUGCGCAAUGGGCGCAAGCCGGAUGCAGCCAUGCCGGGUGUAUGAAGAAGGCCUUCGGGGUGUAAAGUACUUUCAUCGGGGAGGCGUUACCCGCAGAAGAAGCACCGGCUAACUCCGGGCCAGCAGCCGCGGUAAUAC
rnacentral:rRNA from 1 species